GGCAAUAAAAGAAGAAGAAGAAGAAAACGAAAGAAGAUUAGAGUUCCAGCAUGAUGGUUUACACACGUGUAGUCGAUGAAGUUCUAAUUCACAAACCUAGGUCAGUUUUCUCUUCUUUUUUUCUGAUCUUCAUUUAUCUGAUUAUCAAUACUAUUAAAUUAGGAACAUGCCCUAUUGAUAUAGGUUUAGUCAAACUUAUUUUAUAACCACCUACUAAAUAUCAAUAUUAACUGACAUUUAUGCGUUUUAUACAAAUAGUGUAACAACUAAUUCAAUUUCAAAUUAUGCGGGACUCACUUCUCUCUUUCUGAAACUGUCGACUAACUUUAAUUUCAGAGAAUACAAUUUCAUAUAAAGUAUGAUACAAACACAAAUUUGCAUAGGUUAAAUCACAAAAACAGACAUAUUUGUAGGUUCAGAAACGCGGGCGUGGUGGUCGAUUGCUCGGCGAUGGAGCGUUCGGCGGAGAGUAACCGUGGUGAUUUUGCCAAAUUCGAUUAAUAAAUUGGUUUUGUAAAAAUAAUACAUUUUCCUGGAUUUUGAAUGUUUGGAAUGGAAUUUAUAUACCAGAUCUAC
rnacentral:lncRNA from 1 species